AGUGUAGAGGAUAGCAAAGGAUC
rnacentral:piRNA from 1 species